GACGAACGCUGGCGGCGUGCCUAAUACAUGCAAGUAGAACGCUGAAGGAGGAGCUUGCUUCUCCGGAUGAGUUGCGAACGGGUGAGUAACGCGUAGGUAACCUGCCUGGUAGCGGGGGAUAACUAUUGGAAACGAUAGCUAAUACCGCAUAAGAGUAGAUGUUGCAUGACAUUUGCCUAAAAGGUGCAAUUGCAUCACUACCAGAUGGACCUGCGUUGUAUUAGCUAGUUGGUGGGGUAACGGCUCACCAAGGCGACGAUACAUAGCCGACCUGAGAGGGUGAUCGGCCACACUGGGACUGAGACACGGCCCAGACUCCUACGGGAGGCAGCAGUAGGGAAUCUUCGGCAAUGGACGGAAGUCUGACCGAGCAACGCCGCGUGAGUGAAGAAGGUUUUCGGAUCGUAAAGCUCUGUUGUAAGAGAAGAACGAGUGUGAGAGUGGAAAGUUCACACUGUGACGGUAUCUUACCAGAAAGGGACGGCUAACUACGUGCCAGCAGCCGCGGUAAUACGUAGGUCCCGAGCGUUGUCCGGAUUUAUUGGGCGUAAAGCGAGCGCAGGCGGUUAGAUAAGUCUGAAGUUAAAGGCUGUGGCUUAACCAUAGUACGCUUUGGAAACUGUUUAACCUGAGUGCAAGAGGGGAGAGUGGAAUUCCAUGUGUAGCGGUGAAAUGCGUAGAUAUAUGGAGGAACACCGGUGGCGAAAGCGGCUCUCUGGCUUGUAACUGACGCUGAGGCUCGAAAGCGUGGGGAGCAAACAGG
rnacentral:rRNA from 1 species